AUAUUGGAUAUGAAUAUCUACAGUUGUACUUAUUUUUUCAUGUGUGUGUGUGGAGUAUUAAAUUUGAAAGUGCAAUAGAUUGGAUAAAUAAAUGUAAUCCAGAUAAAAUAUAAACUAACUUUGAAACAAAGGUUGCCUAUGUUUGGUCACUUUUGGUGGUGUGCAAGUGGAGUGGUUUAUAAAAUUAUGUCAUCGUGUUGCUCGCCUCUCGUCGUCUUCCCCUCUUCCCACGCGCCUCUCCCGUCCCGUGUCCCACCUGCGUGGGGUCAACCGGUCAACGCGCCACACGCUUUGCAAUUUUCCACUCUCACCCCUCCUCCCCCCAAAAAUAUUCAAUCUGGCCCAACCAGUACAAGGCUGACAUGACAUACAUGGGCAGGGACCACGGCCCAAUAAUGCAAAGCCCAACAAACUCCAUUGGCCCAAAUACGGCCCACUAAACGAAAGCCCAAUAAUAUAUCUCAUGGGCCAAAAGCCUCCUCCUUCCCGUCUCCUUCUGUCACCAUUCGAUUCCCAAACUCUCGCCGCCGCCGCCGCCGCCGGGGACGAUGGGGAAGGUGCCGCACGCCAUGCGCGCCGCCAAGCUCCCCCUCGCCGUCCUUGCCAAGCCCACCCAUGCUUCGGCUUCCCAGCCCCCUGCGCCGCCGAGGCCCAGCAAUCCCAGGCACCGGAAAACCCCAGCCAAGGCUUCCAAAACCCCGGCUCCGGCCACGGCCGCCGCGCCGCCGCCGGUAGAGAAGAGGCCGAUCAAGACUGCCUCCGACCUCGCCGCAGCCAUCCGCGCGGCGGCCGACGCCGACGUCGACGCGGCGGUCGACCUCGCGCGGUCCGCGGCCCGCACCAUCCCGCUCCCGCCGCACUCCCUCUCGCUGCUCCUCCGCCGCCUCGCCCGCCACCGCUCCGUCGCCGCGGCGAGGGGCCUCCUCGCGGAGCUCCACCCCUCGCCCGCCUCCCCGCCGCCACGCCCCGCGCUGCUCGCGCUGUCCGACGCCGUCUGCCGCCGCGGGGAGCCCCGGGAGAUCGCGCAGCUCCUCCCCGUCCUCGCCGACCACGGCGUCAAGGCCGACGCCCCCGUCUACAACGCCCUCAUGAAGGCGCACUGCGCCGCCUCCGACCCCGCGGGUGUCCUCGGCGUCCUCCGCCGCAUGAAGGACGACGGCGUCGAGCCCGACCUCGUCACCUACAACACCCUCGUCUUCGGCCUCGCGCGCGCCGGGAUGGUCACCAAGGCAAGAACCUAUCUCGACGCCAUGGCCGCCGCUGGCCACUUCCCGGACGUCAUCACAUACACCUCGCUGAUGAACGGGAUGUGCGUCAAGGGCGACGCCAUGGGAGCGCUUGCUCUCCUCGAGGAGAUGGAGGCCAAGGGAUGCGAGCCGAAUGAGCGAACAUACAACACUCUGCUCAUGGGGCUCUGCAAGAACAAGAAGCUCGACAAGGCCGUCGAUGUUUACAAAUCCAUGGUUGGUGCCGCGAUGAAGCUUGAAGCUCCAGCUUAUGCGACAUUCGUCAGGGCGUUGUGUCGUGCAGGGAGAAUACCGGAUGCAUACGAGGUGUUCGACUACGGGAUCGAGAGCAAGAGCUUUGCGGAGGUGACGUUGUAUACUGAGCUCGAGAACUCGCUCAAGUGGCUGCACCGGAUGAAAUCAUAAAGUAGGCUGCAUGGCCAGUAUCUUUGUCCCUGGUACUGCAAUGGUUCAUGCUAGCAUGGGAGAAAACUGAGUCAUCAUGUCCUGCCUUUUCCAUGACCGGCAAGCUCAACAGAAAAGAUGUCCGCAGUUAUCCAAUAUUUAUGAAAGCACAGCUUGAUUACUUGAAUGGUCUGCAUCAGAUGUUUAUACCCUUUUGUUGGUACCGACUACUGAGCAACUUCAUACUCCCUCCGUCACAAAAAAAAAAAGACAGAUACAUAGUCAGGGUUUGCCUUUUUUGAGACGGAGGGAAUACUUUGGAAUGCUCAUUAGUCUUUAUGCAGCAGUGGAAUCUCAUGCAAAAGAAGGGAUAUUGUACUAGAGGAAUAUAUUGGUCUUUUUCUAUUGGUGUCCCCCCACUUUGGUCCCUCUGGGAUCAGUUUUCCUGUAAAUGUCUGAAUAAAUCAUCCAAAUCUCAAUUUCUGAAGGUCCAUAUGGUCCAUCUGUAGGAGACAUUAAGCUUUUAGUAAACUGACUGUUGUCUACUGGAGUAAAGCAAAAGAUUUGUGGAAAUAAAAAAAAAUCCUGCUUGUGUAAGAUUUUAGGAUUUUGUCACCUGGAUCCAGUUUCUCAUGCCGAAGUUUUGGUGUCAGCAUUCAGCAAUCCUGUGAGUCAUGCAUAGCUGAAGGUUCAUACUGCUGCCUGUCUCAUCAAAAGUUCAGAUUUUGCAAUGUUGUUUGGGAAGGUAAGGUCUACGCAUUGUCCCUAAAACACAGCAAUUUUUGUUUCUCACAGGAAACACGUCAGCUGCUGAGAAGGCAAUACUGAAGACGAAAUGGUCUGUCAACUGAAUCUUGACCACUGCAGCUAUUUGUAAUAGACAAAAGCCAAGAUUGAUCAUAAAUCAAAAUGAAGUGCAUGGCAAGAGUUGUAACGUGACUAAAGAAGAAUGCAAGGAUCAUGGAAAAAAAGCUGAGAGAAACUGGCGGAUGCAUUGCCUUCAUGUCAGUAUCAACAUAUAGCUGCGAUGUGCCUCUCUGGUCAAGUGAUGGCCUCUGUGAUGGAUGAUCUUGUAGAACAUCCAGGAACAUGGCAAUCCCGAUUAGGCGAUUAAACAAGGAGAUCAAUCUCGCGUGUCAUCCAGCAAAAUGAUAGCCAGCUCUGAAAGUCAGGUCCAAGUUAUCACACCUCUUGAGCUGACAAGAAGCCAAGUUAGAUUAACAGGAAGAGGAGCAGAACAAACGCACCAACCAGUCUACCACAAACAGGACAAAUCAAUAAUUGAAUAUCAUGCGCGGAUUGCUGCUGGAACAACAACAAGAGUUGAUAGAUUCGAGCUUUGCCUUAUGCAACAGGUGAGAGCUCCUUUGCUUUUACACAAUGCAAAUUCCAUCCAUGGAUUGUCUCUGAAGAUAGGGUUGUAACAUCCGGCAAGAAACAUAUGGCCAACAUGGAGCGAUCUACACAGGAGAUGCCAUACGGUAAUUGCACAUGGAGAGGAAUAGGAUUCUGAUGCAAAGGCUCAAACAAUUUUCAAAGAGAAAAGGAAAACGGAUCAGCUCCUUUAGGUCGCAAGUUUGUCAGUGCAAUUUUGUCUGAAAUGACAGGAAAUAAUGUGUUGCACCAUGUUUUUGCGUUGUUGCUGCUGUCGUUGGUUGCCUGGGGCUUAACCUGACCAGUGGAGGAGGAAGGACCAAGGACAAUAACACAUUACACGUAGGACAGCGAGGUGGUUGCUUGAGGAGGAGAAAGCUGCAUUGAUGGCUUGUUGCUGCUGGUGUUGGUGUUGCGGGGACCUGCUUGUCUCUGUUGGCAGAUAAGAAGCCAGCUCCUUUUAUCCGUCCUUGUGUCCUCCCUGUUGGUCGUUACAGAUGAGAUAUUAACUCCAUCUUGGAAUGUUUGGUGUUUUUUGACCAGAAAAACAAAGAAAUACACUCUGAAUGAAAAUGCCAGAAUGUAUCCAUCAGUGGAAAUAUGUUAACAAGAAGGAAACAUCAAAGGUUAAUGAAAUGGAUGGAUGAUAUCACUGGAGUUCAUAUAUGCAUCAUUGGACAGGUCACGAACAUAUCCCCUCCAUCCUAGAAAAAAGAAGAACUUCUAGCUAUGAACAAAUGUGAGCAUAUGAUUUGGACAAAGGAAAAUGACAAGCACAGAAGCACUUGGGAGAGAAAUUCCUGAUCAAAUGUGCCAGUAUUUUGGCAUCUGAACAUCCGUCGCCGUCCAAACUAUGCCACAAGAGGGAACUUAACAUGUCUUGCAAGAAAGCAAAAGAAGCCUCUCCUGCCUAGUGUAUACCAACCCUGCAUUCGACGGCGACAGGUAUAAUUCUAUACAAAGCCAAAUCCAUCCAUCAGAACUCACAUUAACCAAACAUAAGAGCUGUCACUAUCUUAAAGGACACACCAUCUCAAUCUCAUCGGUCCCAAGUGAGGAAAGUUUGGUCAGCUAACUGAAAAGAAUCCAUAGCACAAGCAUGAAUCUUGAUCGGAUUACUGAAGUAACAAGAGUGAAAUUUACCCUAGCUAACGUAUAUGUCACACCAUUUAAACAAGGAAUAGUUAGUUUAGUAGGAGAUUGAGAUACAAGGAACCAGAGAUCGAUCGAUCGAGAUAUUGCGAUGAUAACCAUCUGAUGGGGUAACAAACAAGUGGUCAUAAAAUUGGGCAACCUAGAGCUAACACUAGAAGAAACAGCAAGCAAGAAUGAUGGGUAGAUCGAUGUGAUGCCUCGUCUUAUGGUGAUUUGCCCACCAAAUAAUAGAUUUACACACACACACAAACACCAAUCAUACACUGACCAACAAUGGCACGAACUUGCAAGAAAGGGCUAGAGGUGGUCCAGAUGGAUACAGCUUUACACCAACCAUCAGAUUAGAUUAGUAGUCAGCUUGCAAGAAUGCAUGAGACAUGCUGCCUGCAGCUAUCGAGCGUACUAUUAGAUUAGGUUUAUGUUUUAGUAUCAUUUGUAAGUACAAGAAACGAACAACUGAUCAUGCAAUUAAUGAAUUUUGACGCUA